rnacentral:rRNA from 1 species
GACGAAGGGGGCUAGCGUUGUUCGGAAUUACUGGGCGUAAAGCGCGCGUAGGCGGAUCUGCAAGUCGGGGGUGAAAUCCCGAGGCUCAACCUCGGAACUGCCUUCGAUACUGCGGGUCUCGAGUCCGGGAGAGGUGAGUGGAAUUCCUAGUGUAGAGGUGAAAUUCGUAGAUAUUAGGAAGAACACCAGUGGCGAAGGCGGCUCACUGGCCCGGUACUGACGCUGAGGCGCGAAAGCGUGGGGAGCAAACAGGG